rnacentral:rRNA from 1 species
CCUACGGGUGACAGCAGUGGGGAAUAUUGCACAAUGGGGGAAACCCUGAUGCAGCAACGCCGCGUGAGUGAAGGAGUCUUUCGGUAUGUAAAGCUCUAUCAGUAGGGAAGAAGAACGCCGUUACCUGACUAAGAAGCCCCGGCUAACUACGUGCCAGCAGCCGCGUUAAUACGUAGGGGGCACGCUUUAUCCGGAUUUACUGGGUGUAAAGGGAGCGUAGACGGCUGUGCAAGCCUGAAGUGAAAGCCCGUGGCUCAACCGCGGAACUGCUUUGGAAACUGUAUGGCUUGAGUACUGGAGAGGCAGGCGGAAUUCCUAGUGUAGCGGUGAAAUGCGUAGAUAUUAGGAGGAACACCAGUGGCGAAGGCGGCCUGCUGGAGAGAAACUGACGUUGAGGCUCGAAAGCGUGGGGAGCAAACAGGAUUAGAUACCCUGGUAGUC